rnacentral:rRNA from 1 species
ACGUGAUCUGAGUUCAGACCGGAGUAAUCCAGGUCAGUUUCUAUCUAUAAAGAGCUUUUUCUAGUACGAAAGGACCGAAAAAACAUGGCCAAUGAAUAAUUAAGCCAUACUAAUAACUAAUGACUUCAACUAAAUUAGUAAAAAACCUUAUACACCUCUCAAGAUAAGAGAA